rnacentral:sRNA from 1 species
GGUUGAUGUUGCUGCGUCUAUGUUUGAGGGUGGGAGGGGAGCGUGCUUGCUUUGAAAUGAGGAUGUAAAUUUGGCAAUCAUAUUUUCAGAACCCCAAAUUACAAUACACUAUUCUAGCCUCCUUAGAUUUCAACUAUUCUGGUGCCAGAAGCAGAUGGGAGCUGAAGGAAUGAUGAAGGUUGAAGAAGGGGGACUUUUCUUGGUGUGGGGCAGUAUUGCAUUUGGCCUGCUCUACCAAGCGUACGGGAGUAGUAAAGCCAUGGCUGGCAGACCAUUUAGCAUGCAUGCUCAGGGGCUAGUGGAUAAAGAAUUAAUUACAGUUCAAACACUGUUUGAACUCAGUGUUGGGAGUAGUUAAAGGUAUCGUAAGAAGUUGCACACAGCUUUGGGGAUUCUUGGAAAAGAAAGAGGAAGAAAUGAGGAAGAGGAAGGGUGUCUACAAAGGGCCAGAGAACAGGAUCUCAGAUCAGCUGCUGUAACCCUGUUUCCCCUUGUGGGAAGUGUUGUUUCUUGCUGGGCAGUUGGGAAGGGAAUGGAGAACAGAGAAGAGAGUGGAAAUCACAUGCUCACUUCAACUUUCCUUGGGAACGUCUCCUCACAGCAUGCACAACCUCCCUUUGGUAAUGGAGUGUUCAUUUUAUCAUGGGAAAAGAAUCUGAGUGGGACAUGAUUCAGAACAGGACCAGCCCAAUGAAGUGCAGGGGCUGUGGAGUGGGAUGGAGACAAACUCUGAAAGGACACACGGGAAAUCUAGAUGUAGAAGGUACACAAGUAGUAGGAUAACUCACAGGAUGGAUCCACUGGAGGUUAAGACAUGUGGUAAGACAGUGUAAUAGGAAGCUGCUCAGUUGGAGAAAGUAAGGAAGCAAACAUUGUCACCGUGGGGGCAAUGGAGAGGACAGUGAGGAGCCCUUUAUCCUGAUAAGGGUGCCUUUGGGGUAAAGGAAGGAAAGAGGAUGCCUUGAGAGGCCCCACUGUAUUAGAGAGGACCUGGAAGCCAGGAUGCUAAUUCUGGGGAGAUGGGUUCCCCAGGCUUACUCUAGGAGUAGAGGUCCAUGGGACGAGGGUUUGAUUUGAGAAAGAUCAUUUCCUUGGGAGUGGGUGGUGUGAGCUAGACCCUUGGAGCUGGGAUAAAGGACCUUUUAACCCACUGAGAGGUGGCUGCAAUAAAUGGAAUUGCCCUGGGGGUGAGCAACAGAAAUUGGGUCAAGUAAGUUUCUAUUUUUUGCAGCACCUGGGCUGUCCCCCAUGCAGACCCUGAAGGUUUCUGUGUCUGCAGUGACUCUGGGCCUGGGCCUCAUCAUCUUCUCUCUUGGUUUGAUCAGCUGGCGGAGAGCUGGCCACUCUAGUUACUCUCCUCUUCCUGGGUCCAAUUAUCCAGAAGGACGGCACAUUUCCUAGAGGCAGAAUCCUACAACUUCCACUCCAAGUGAGAAGGAGAUUCAAAUUCAGUGAUGCUACCAUGCCUCUCCAACAUCUUCAACCCCCUGACAUUAUCUUGGAUCCUAUGGUUUCUCCAUCCAAUUCUUUGAAUUUCCCAGUCUCCCCUAUGUAAAACUUAGCAACUUGGGGGACCUCAUUCCUGGGACUAUGCUGUAACCAAAUUAUUGUCCAAGGCUAUAUUUCUGGGAUGAAUAUAAUCUGAGGAAGGGAGUUAAAGACCCUCCUGGGGCCCUCAGUGUGCCAUAGAGGACAGCAACUGGUGAUUGUUUCAGAGAAAUAAACUUUUGUGGAAAUAUUGUU